AUUGAACGCUGGCGGCAGGCCUAACACAUGCAAGUCGAACGAGUGGCGGACGGGUGAGUAAUGUCUGGGAAACUGCCUGAUGGAGGGGGAUAACUACUGGAAACGGUAGCUAAUACCGCAUACCAUCGGAUGUGCCCAGAUGGGAUUAGCUAGUGGGUGGGGUAAAGGCUCACCUAGGCGACGAUCCCUAGCUGGUCUGAGAGGAUGACCAGCCACACUGGAAAUGAGACACGGUCCAGACUCCUACGGGAGGCAGCAGUGGGGAAGAUUGCGCAAUGGGGGCAAGCCUGAUGCAGCCAUGCCGCGUGUAUGAAGAAGGCCUUCGGGUUGUAAAGUUCUUUCAGCGAGGAGGCGUUACUCGCAGAAGAAGCACCGGCUAACUCCGUGCCAGCAGCCGCGGUAAUAC
rnacentral:rRNA from 1 species